UACGUAGGGGCCUAGCGUUGUCCGGAUUUAUUGGGCGUAAAGAGCUCGUAGGCGGUUCGGUAAGUCAGGUGUGAAAUCUCCACGCUCAACGUGGAGGCGCCACCUGAAACUGCCGUGACUCGAGUCCGGUAGGGGAGUGUGGAAUUCCCGGUGUAGCGGUGAAAUGCGCAGAUAUCAGGAAGAACACCCGUGGCGAAGGCGGCUCUCUGGUACGUGACUGACGCUGAGACGCGAAAGCGUGGGGAGCAAACAGG
rnacentral:rRNA from 1 species